CAGGAACACAGGAAAUAAAGUGCUUUGACUAUUUUAAUCUCUAUUUCUUGUGUUCCCUGC
rnacentral:miRNA from 1 species